AAUAGAUACCCGGGUAGUCCACGCCGUAAACGAUGAGUGCUAAGUGUUAGGGGGUUUCCGCCCCUUAGUGCUGCAGCUAACGCAUUAAGCACUCCGCCUGAGGAGUACGGUCGCAAGACUGAAACUCAAAGGAAUUGACGGGGGCCCGCACAAGCGGUGGAGCAUGUGGUUUAAUUCGAAGCAACGCGAAGAACCUUACCAGGUCUUGACAUCCCAUUGACCGCUAUGGAGACAUAGUUUUCCCUUCGGGGACAGUGGUGACAGGUGGUGCAUGGUUGUCGUCAGCUCGUGUCGUGAGAUGUUGGGUUAAGUCCCGCAACGAGCGCAACCCUUGUUCUUAGUUGCCAUCAUUUAGUUGGGCACUCUAAGGAGACUGCCGGUGACAAACCGGAGGAAGGUGGGGAUGACGUCAAAUCAUCAUGCCCCUUAUGACCUGGGCUACACACGUGCUACAAUGGACGGUACAAACGGUUGCCAACCCGGCGAGGGGGAGCUAAUCCGAUAAAACCGUUCUCAGUUCGGAUUGUAGGCUGCAACUCGCCUACAGU
rnacentral:rRNA from 1 species